rnacentral:rRNA from 1 species
CGGACAGUGUCUGGUGGGUAGUUUGACUGGGGCGGUCUCCUCCUAAAGAGUAACGGAGGAGCACGAAGGUUGGCUAAUCCUGGUCAGACAUCAGGAGGUUAGUGCAAUGGCAUAAGCCAGCUUGACUGCGAGCGUGACGGCGCGAGCAGGUGCGAAAGCAGGUCAUAGUGAUCCGGUGGUUCUGAAUGGAAGGGCCAUCGCUCAACGGAUAAAAGGUACUCCGGGGAUAACAGGCUGAUACCGCCCAAGAGUUCAUAUCGACGGCGGUGUUUGGCACCUCGAUGUCGGCUCAUCACAUCCUGGGGCUGAAGUAGGUCCCAAGGGUAUGGCUGUUCGCCAUUUAAAGUGGUACGCGAGCUGGGUUUAGAACGUCGUGAGACAGUUCGGUCCCUAUCUGCCGUGGGCGCUGGAGAACUGAGGGGGGCUGCUCCUAGUACGAGAGGACCGGAGUGGACGCAUCACUGGUGUUCGGGUUGUCAUGCCAAUGGCACUGCCCGGUAGCUAAAUGCGGAAGAGAUAAGUGCUGAAAGCAUCUAAGCACGAAACUUGCCCCGAGAUGAGUUCUCCCUGAGACUUUAGGUCUCCUGAAGGAACGUUGAAGACGACGACGUUGAUAGGCCGGGUGUGUAAGCGCAGCGAUGCGUUGAGCUAACCGGUACUAAUGAACCGUGAGGCUUAACCUUACAACGCCGAAG